rnacentral:misc_RNA from 1 species
AACUUUCAACAACGGAUCUCUUGGCUCUCGCAUCGAUGAAGAACGCAGCGAAAUGCGGUACGUAGUGUGAAUUGCAGAAUCCAGUGAACCAUCGAAUCUUUGAACGCACAUUGCACCUAUUGGUAUUCCGAUAGGUAUGCCUAUUUGAGUGUUAUGAAUAUCUCAUCCCAAAAACCUUUUUUGGGAUGGUUUUGAGCUUGCGUUGGCUGGCUCGAAAUCAAUUGGGCGACGAUAGACUCAGUUUAACGUUAUAUUUAUUCUCGAUAAGCUGGCCUAGUUUGAUUGCCUUGGAACAAUUUUUCAACCUUAACCUCAAAUUAGGUAGGGAUACCCGCUGAACUUAAGCAUAUCAAUAAGCGGAGGCU